AGUGAACGCUGGCGGCAGGCCUAACACAUGCAAGUCGAACGGCAGCACAGUAAGAUUGUGCUUUUACGGGUGGCGGGUGGCGGGUGGGUGAGGAAUACAUCGGAAUCUUCUUUUUCGUGGGGGAUAACGUAGGGAAACAUACGCUACUACAGCAUAUGACCUACCGGGGAAAGCAGGGGAUCUUCGGACCUUUCGCGAUUGUAUGAGCUGAUGUCGUAUUAGCUAGUUGGGGGGGUAAGGGCCCACCAAGGCGACGAUGCGUUGCUGGUCUGAGAGGGUGAUCGGCCACACUGGAACUGAGACACGGUCCAGACUCCUACGGGAGGCAGCAGUAGGGAAUCUUGGGCAAUGGGCGCAAGCCUGAUCCAGCCAUGCCGCGUGGGUGAAGAAGGCCUUCGGGUCGUAAAGCCCUUUUGUUAGGAAAGAAAAGCUGCGGAUUUAAACGCCGCUGUUCUGACGGUACCCAAACAAUAAGCACCGGCUAACUUCGUG
rnacentral:rRNA from 1 species